rnacentral:rRNA from 1 species
GUCUACAGCCAUGCCACCCUGAACAAGCCCAAUCUCAUCUGAUCUCAGAAGCUAAGCAGGGUCGGGCCUGGUUAGUACUUGGAUGGGAGACCACCUAGGAAGACCAGGUGACGUAGGCA